CUGGAAGCUGGUAGAUCAACAAUAAAAUCCAUAGCCAAACAAGCCCAAGGUUUGUUGGGAACGACUAAGGGCUGCAAUAAACCACAAGGGAGAUCCAGCGGAAGUUUAUUCCUGACACAAACAUUGCAAGCCUUGACAAAGUCUUCCACAUCCCUACGUAAACCGGGCCACCAGAAGUCCUUGGAGAUCAGGCAGUAAGUUUUGUGGAUGCCGGGGUGACCAGCGAACUUGCUAUCGUGAAAACAGCGAAUAAUGUCCACUUGGAAUUUGGGAGACACGAACAAGCGGCCCACAGGAG